rnacentral:rRNA from 1 species
GACGAACGCUGGCGGCGUGCUUAACACAUGCAAGUCGAACGGAAAGGCCCUGCUUUUGUGGGUUUCUCGAUUGGCGAGCGGGUGAGUAACACGUGAGUAACCUGCACCUGUCUUUGUGAUAACUUCAGGAAACUGGGGCUAAUACCGGAUAUGAUCUCCUGCUGCAUGUUGUGCGAUGGAAAGUUUCGGCUGUUGUGGCUGGACUCGCUGCUUAUGAGCUUGUUGGGCGGGUAGUUGCUUACCAAGGCUUUGACGGGUAGGCGGCCUGAGAGGGUGACCGGCGACAAUGGGACUGCGGGACGCCCCAGAAUCGUAUCGGAGGCAGCAGGGGGGAAUAUUGCACAACGAGGGGACGCCUGAUGUGGCAGCGCCGCGAGCGGAAUGAUCGCCUACGAGUUGUAAACAGAUUUGGCAUGAGCUGAAGAGUGAGUGACGGUAACGGGUAAAGAAGCAACGGCUAACUACGUG